rnacentral:rRNA from 1 species
GAUGAACGCUGGCGGCAUGCCUAAUACAUGCAAGUCGAACGAAGGACUUCUAAGAAGCUUGCUUCGAGGGAGGACUUAGUGGCGAACGGGUGAGUAACACGUAGGUAACCUGCCCAUGUACCCGGGAUAACAAAGGGAAACGUUUGCUAAAACCGGAUGAAUAAAUAGGAGGCAUCUCCUAAUUAUAAAAGCACCUAUGGGUGUGGACAUGGAUGGACCUGCGGCGUAUUAGCCAGUUGGCGGGGUAACGGCCCACCAAAGCGAUGAUACGUAGCCGGCCUGAGAGGGUAAACGGCCACACUGGGACUGAGACACGGCCCAG